UAGAGAAGCACUAAUGGGAAGGUCCCUCUGAGCACUAAACAGUGGCUUCCAUUGAGAUUUGGGAAGCUUUUUGUUCAUGCAAAAUGAGGACGAAAUACUGGAAAACGACUGGAGAAAAAAGGCAUCCCUGGGGAACAACAUUCAUCUGAAGAGCCAACUGGGAGCCGGGAUGGGAAACUACUAAAGUUUGAUGCACCAGACUUUGGCCUGAUGCGCUCUCAGCAAAAUGUACAGAGGAGAUGGCCACUUGGUCUUUGGGAGCCCCUGGCUCUCUCUUUUUAAUGACACUAGCUGCUCUUAGCGCCCACUACAGGAAAUGAAGCAAUGGAAGAAGCGCACCUCAUGUGAAAGCAUUUGGAUUUUGCUAGGCUAUUUUCUGAGUAGUAUUUGUCCCGUGGAAAAAUACAGAAGAGGAAAUGAUCUUAGUUAUUCAUGUCUUCAUUCUCCACAUUUGCUCUAUGUUUGGCCUGUGCCAGGGUUGUAGGAGAUGUCGAAAAAGCUCAGAUUCUGCCAAGCAAGGAGUCUGUGACAUCCUCGUGGUUAACAAGUAGGAAGUGACAAAUCCCUGAGGGGAGAUGUGAGGGCCUGCAGUUCCACGAGGGAGCGUUUGCCCAGGGGGUUCAGGGACAUCCUGGUGGUGGUGUCUUCGCUCUCCAGACAGACUCCUUCUAAACACCAUAAAGAAGAGGGCCUGGCCAGGCGCGGUGGCUCACACCUGUAAUCCCAGCACUUUUGGAGGCCGAGAAGAGCAGAUCACGAGGUCAGGAGAUCGAGACCAUCCUGGCUAAUAUGGUGAAACCCCGUCUCUACUAAAAAUACAAAAAAAUUAGCUGGUCAUGAUGGUGGGCGCCUGUGGUCCCAGCUACUUGGGAGGCUGAGGCAGGAGAAUGGCAUGAACUCAGGAGGCGGAGCUUGCAGUGAGCUGAGACCGCACCACUGCACUCCAGCCUGGGCAACAGAGCAAGAGUCCAUCUCAAAAAAAAAGAAGAGGGCCUUGCCAUGCCCUUCUGUGCCUCCCCACACCUCUUGCAUGGGGUGACAGAUUCACCAGAGGCAUACAGUAUGGGUAAUUAAAUGGGCUUAGCUCAAGUUGGAGAAGAACUAUUGCUAACCUCUUUGUGUUUGGGUUAGGUGGCUAUUAUCUACUUAAUAAAAUAAUGUUGAAAAAGCAGGGCCCACUGGGACUGAUGGGGGUGCCGUUCACAAUGUUCACAAUGUAUUAUAAGUGAACAAUGCCCCCACAUGUGGGCAGCAUGGCCCGCUCUUCCAGAAGAGUAAGUCACAGCCAAUGUGAAGUGACUCAAGAGUAUACAAAGACUGCUCCUUACUUCUUUUUGACAAGGAACUUCCACAAGUAGAAAACUCAAGGAUUCCUUUGAGCCUUAACAGCUAUUUGGUCCUUCAGAAUACAUAUUAAAAUGCAAAUGUCAGCCGGGCGCGGUGGCUCACGCCUGUAAUCCCAGCACUUUCGGAGGCCGAGGCGGGCGGAUCAUGAGCUCAAGAGAUCAAGACCAUCCUGGCCAACAUGGUGAAACCCCGUCACUACUAAAAAUACAAAAAUUAGCUGGGCAUGGUGGUGUGUGCCUAUAGUCCCAGCUAUUCAGGAGACUGAGGCAGGAGAAUCACUUGAACCCAGGAGGUAGAGGUUGCAGUGAGCCAAGAUCGCGCCACUGCAGGCGACAGAGAGAGAUUCUAUCUCAAAGAAAAAAUAAUAAUAAUAAAUAAAUAAAAUGCAAAUGUCUCCUAGGACAGAGCAGUAUUUUGUCUUAGGGACAGGAAGGAUUAUCUGACAACUAAGUAGAAGCAAGGAUGGCUGGAAGAGAGAGGGGCAUGAUCCAGAAAAGGGCAGUGGUGGCCAGGAUCAUCACAGCUUGAUCUUUAUGAUAAUCUAGUUUGCUUCUCUUUUGUAAAAGGUGAAUGUGAUGAUCCAGGAAGUUAGAUAAUUUGCAAUCUCCCACAACCUGGAAAUUCUUUCUCUGGAGCCCUUGGUAAUGAUAAUAGCAAUAAUAAUGAUGAUAGUUAACAUUUCUUGAACUCUUGCUAUGUGAAAGGCACAGUUAGGCUCUUUAUACAUAUUAGCUUAUUUAAUUGCUCAUGAUGUCCUUAUGGUGUAGGUAAUAAUAUUUUUCUCAUUUUUACAGAUGAGGAGACUGACCUACAGAGAGGUAAAGUCCCUUGGCAAGGUCUCAUAGCUAGUGAGGGAAAGAAGAAUGUGUCACUUGAGGGAAAGACAGGAAGCCAUUGCCCCUGCAUACUGUUGUGUGAGCAAAGGCACUGAGGUGGGACAAGAAAGGAUAAGAUUUAAGAAGAGACAUCCUAAUAUCCAGAUAUGUUACAUUAUUAGCAUUGCUGCAGGAACUGCUGAAAAAGAUACAGUCAAGCAAGGGUGCUGGGGGUGGGGGUGGGGAGGUAGGUUUGCUAAUGCUUACUUAAUAGCCAGGAACAAACAGUAGCUAGGAAGAGGCACUGGGUCAGUGUGCCUGCCAAGAACAGUAGAGGAUGAACUCAUGUGGAUGGGUAUGCAGGAGUAUUUCCCACAGUCCUUUGAUUUGAGACCACCGGCUGCUGUCAUAUUUGGAGUAAUUGUGGUGUAAGGCACACUGGACUGAGAGUCAGGAGACCUGGGUGUGACUCAUGGUUUUGCUGCUAAUGAUCUGUGUGACCUUGGGGGAAGUCACUUAACUUCUCCAGACCUCAGUUUCUUCAUCUACAAAAUAAGGGAAUUACUAACACUCUUUCAGUUCUGGAAUUCUAAUUCUAAAGUAAAUCUUCUGCAGAGCAAGUCUGUUUGUCUUCCUUAAACUUAAAAUGGAAUUUAUUUUAAAAGCAGAUGGUUCCGGCACUGGAACCAUUCUCCCACAAUUCCUUUCAAUGACACAUCUAUAGAGCUAUAGUUAUAAAUUCCUUUGAAAACCAAUGGGCUUUUUGACAUGAGUGUCAGUAAAGAUCAAAUCAAAUCGUACCAAUAAAAUUAAAUAUAUUUUAAAAACAAAAACAGCUGUAAAAAUUUUAAAUGAGUUAAUUUCAAUUAAACUCUCAAAGUAUCAAGGAAUACAUAAAAAAUGUGUACUCCGAGCCAUGUGACGUGCAACGUGUCUAAUAGUAUUUUAUCAUGCAACAACAUGGUGGGUAAGUAUUAACUCCCUUUUACAGAUAGAAAUAGACCCAAAGAUGGUGAAUAACUUGGUCAAGGACAUAGAGUUAGCAAGGGCAAAACUUUAACCCAGGGUUCCAGACUCCAGGUCCAGAGCUUUCUACUUCAUCACAGCUGCAUCAAGAAUGUAGCACCAGCAGGUCUGCUCCAAUGAGUCAGGGAGACAGGUGUGGAACUUCCAAGAAAGUCUACCUUGCUGCUCCUACAGAAUCAGGGCCUCUGUAAAAGGGAGGGGCAGGACAGAAGGACUAGAGAGCGGAGAUAAGAUCUUGAGUUUGUUUCUCUGUUUGUUUGUUUGUUUGUUUGUUUGUUUGUUUUUGAGAUGGAGUCUUGCUCUGUCGCCCAGGCUGGA
rnacentral:lncRNA from 10 species